CGGCAGCACAGUAAGAGCUUGCUCUUAUGGGUGGCGAGUGGCGGACGGGUGAGGAAUACAUCGGAAUCUACCUUUUCGUGGGGGAUAACGUAGGGAAACUUACGCUAAUACCGCAUACGACCUUCGGGUGAAAGCAGGGGACCUUCGGGCCUUGCGCGGAUAGAUGAGCCGAUGUCGGAUUAGCUAGUUGGCGGGGUAAAGGCCCACCAAGGCGACGAUCCGUAGCUGGUCUGAGAGGAUGAUCAGCCACACUGGAACUGAGACACGGUCCAGACUCCUACGGGAGGCAGCAGUGGGGAAUAUUGGACAAUGGGCGCAAGCCUGAUCCAGCCAUACCGCGUGGGUGAAGAAGGCCUUCGGGUUGUAAAGCCCUUUUGUUGGGAAAGAAAAGCAAUCGAUUAAUACCCGGUUGUUCUGACGGUACCCAAAGAAUAAGCACCGGCUAACUU
rnacentral:rRNA from 1 species